GGAGGGUCGCUGUCAGCCAGGCACUCCAGAGUGAGGUGACCGUUAACCGGCACUGUCAAUGUCCUCACAUCACCGGAGCCAAGGAGCGUUGGUGGUACUGCAACACAACCACUGACCAUUAAGAUUUAUGUGAUCCACAAUAACAGCAACAAAAGGAAAGUAAAAGAAAAAAAAGUGCUGUGAGCCUGAAGUGCUCCUUCAGGAAGAGCUUGGUAAAGUUAUGAGGCCGUGUGGAACAGAUGAAGUCAGAAUGUAGAUCGGGGACAGGUAUAAAAAGCAUGUGUUUUCACUUAAAAAAAGACAUUACUAAAAAAAGUGCUAUAAAAAUGUGUGCCACACAGUUUUGAAUCUUCUAGAAGAGUCUUAAUUAUAGGAAUGGGGAAAAGAAACACCAUGAAUUUGGGAAAACACUGAUCUAAGCAGUCUGGCAGGUCUUAACUGCAUUGUGUAUGAUUAUAUUUAUAGAAGCAUCAUUUUACUCAAAUAUUAACAAGUGGAAUAAAUGGUGAGUAGUGCACACUCAUAAAUUAAAGUCAGGCCAUCAAUAAAAACCCAAGAAAAUGCACCCUGCGCUGCAUGCAUGUCAUAUUGCGUGCAAAACAGCGAGACCGAUAUACAAGCAGCGCAAGUCUGUUUUUCACUUGUGUAAAAAUCCAGACUUUUAUUCCUGAUCGCACACAGAGCUUUAUUCAUGCAGUACCAGGUGCAAAGAGAGGAGGAAGUUAAGGGAAAAGGGGGGCAUGACAUAUUUCUUCCAUGCUGAAUAAUAUCCAAGAACAGCUUGUGUCACCUUGGACCCGGACCCAGUGGUUUUUUCCAUCCUCUCCGGCUAGGCUGCUGGCCAAGCAGGUGUACAGACCUGCAUCCUCGACCUUUAAAGAGACAAUAUCAAUCAGCUUGAGUGGUUCUUGCAUGACAAUGCUUUAUUUGAAAAUUUACACUCAACUAAAGUGACGACUAAGGUUUAAAAAGAGUGGGUAUGUUUUUCUGUUUGUUUUUUAACAGGAGUGAUUGCUUAGAAAAAGUCUUAGCGACAUACAUUGUCUUAAAUAAAGUUUUACACCUUAAAUUGCCAAUCUCAGGAGAACAUGUGCUCGCACAGUCAGUAAUUUAUACCUGAACUUUGCUAAUCCUGAUAAAGUUUCCGUCCUGCUGAACGAUAUCAGAUCUCUCCACGGGCCGACCAUCCUUGAGCCAGCUGAGGGUAGGAGGUGGGACUCCCACAGCAGAGCACUCCAGCUCAAGUGGACUGUUAACUGCUAUGGUCAGCUCUUCUGAUAUAAAUAAAUAAAAAGAGGGUGAUCGUACCAAGCACGGUGAGGUUGAAGCUCUUGGUACUGCUUCCAGCCUGGUUACUAGCCACGCAGCUGUAAAAGCCCGCAUCUGAGGGGGCCACGUCAGGAAGCUGCAGUCUUGUCUCCUGUCCAUCCAGUAGCAGGUUGCGGUGAAGGGACAGCGGCUGUCCAUCUUUCAUCCACGUUAGCGUCGGAGGGGGGACGCCACGUGCUUCACAGGAUAAAGUCACCAAGGAUCCCUGGAUUACUGAAACUGGCUCCACCGGUUCGACGUGAUUCACACCGGGGGGCACUGCAGACCAUAAACACAGAGUGUGAAACCCCACCGACCCAGCAUGUUCUGUUUUCAUGUUAUCUACUGUUGGGAUUGUACCUUGGACUUGGACAUUAUAGCUGAGCUCUGCAAGACCAGCUUGACUGCGUGCCACACACGUGUAAACUCCAGAAUCAGACAGCUGCACAGGAGAAAUCCUUUUUUUUUUAAUGAAGAAAGAGAACAUUUAGAAUGACCUCAUCCACCAACCUGUAAUCUUUUUACAACACAGUCUGUAAUCAUCUUAACUGACCUCAGCAAAGAGUCACCGGAGAGGAGGCGAGCGCGGUGACUGAGGAGCAGCGGAUGCCCAUUCUUCAGCCAGCUGAUCUGAGGCGGGGGGUUUCCUGCUGCCUGACACUCUAGCGUCACAGCGCUGUCCUGCGUGACCUGCACCUCUUUGGGGAUGGUGGUCUCACCAGAAAUAGAUGGCGGUACUGCCACAGAUGAAAUAGACUGUGAAGAAAUCGCUCAGAAACUUAACGCAGAUAAACAAAGCUAAGGGGUGAAAAACCAACCUAGAGUAAAGACGGUGUAGAUUUUGCUCUCCUGGCCGGCCGAAUUCACAGCCAGGCAGGUGUACGUCCCAGAAUCCUCAGGACUCAGGCGCAGCAAAGUCAGUGUGCUGCCAUCAGAUGUCACGCUGCCAGAGAACAAGCACGCUUUGUUUUCACAUCCAUUUUUCUCUAUUAUUUGUCCACAUCUGAACCUCGGUGUAAUUCUUUCAUUAUCACCCACAUCCCACAGUUUUCUCACAGUCGCAUGCAGAUACAUAAACACAGUCGCUUACUGUCUGAUGACCACAUAA
ensembl:lncRNA